UACACUUUGUACUUUAAUAUGCAAACUGCCUGCCUGCUCCAGAGAAGCAGCCUUUGUUCCUCAGUUCAUCGCAACACUCAGCCUGUCAGUCAGGUUGUGGGAUCCCUCCUAUCCAGGAACUGUAUGCUGUUGUCCCGGUUCUGACACUUUCCCUCUGAGUCCUUGGACACCUUACCUAACCUCUUGGAAGCUCCUGUCUGUGAAGGGUGUGCACAGAGAGCUUCGGUAGCCUGCGAAGCAGCCAUUUUCACUUCCACGGAGCAGAUGCUGGCCUGGGUGCUGGAAUAUGGAAAUGAGGAAGAUCCUGCCUGAGGAUUUCAUGACAGUGCUGCGAUUACCGACGUGAGCCACUGUGCCCAGCCUCACUUUAAAAAAAAAAAAAGGUUAUGAAGCAUCUCAACACAAGACCUCCUUUGCUCAUCACAACCACCCAGUGAAGCAGGCAAGACAACAGAAACUCCCCACCUGUGAUAGAUGUGAGGCCUGAAGUCUCCCACAUACCCACGGCAGAUGCAACGCACAGCGGUGACCAAUGGUGAAGGAUCUAAAACCUGAAAAGAGGCCAAAUGAUUCCUCAAAACCACGCAAGUACGAAGUAGCAGAGCGGAUCUCAAAUCCAGGUUUUACCCUCCCGACUGUUAACUGCCAACUGUUAACUGUUAACUGCCCAAGGUUGCCCUGCUGAUGUCAUGCCUGACCAUAUGACUUGCUCCAGCCAAUGAAAUGUAAGCAGAAGUGACAUAUGCAGCAUGACCAGUGGAAGCUUCGAAGAGCUAUUGCCAAUUUCCACCCUCUCUCUGGAAACUGUCAUUAGGGUUAGGGAAACUGUCAUGAGAUCUGCAUAUUUUAGAUAGAGGCUGCUUGCCUUAUUUGGGCACCUAAUGAAAAAGACAUGGAGGCCAGGUGCGGUGGCUCAUGUCUGUAAUCCCAGCACUUUGGGAGGCCAAGGCGAGUGGAUCACCUGAGGUCAGGAGUUCGAGACCAGCCUGACCAACAUGGCAAAACCCCGUCUGUACUAAAAGUGCAAACACAAAGGGAACUGCGUGGCUUGUUUCUACCUGAACAUUGUCAAGUGAUUUCAUCCUUUGAAACACAGUUGUGAAGUGUGUCCAGCAGUCUGAGAACAAGAAGAAGAAGAAAAUCUAAUCCUUCAGGGUGUCUGUGUGCCAGCCCUGCUCUCAGCACUUCCCAUGUGGAACUCCUUUACUUCUCCUAACAACUCCAUGACAUGGGUUAGACUGUGAUUGUUCCCAUAUUGUUGGUAGGGAAACUGAGGCAUGCAGGUGUUACAGAGCUCUCUCAAGUGGCAAGCUUUCUGGGUGGUUACAGAGUGGCAGAGCUGGGGUAUCCCAUGAUGUCACCACACUGCUAUAUGGAAAAGAACAUUAAUCGAGCACCUACGUGCUUGAUUCUCUUAAUUCUGUGACUGAACUCUCAAAACACCCUGGGUUGGUUUCCUUUUUACAACUGCCCAAGUCAUGAGUUCAUAGGGCCUGGAUGGCUGUACCGGAUUGCUCUCCAGCUGGUCUCUCUGCAUCCAGAAAUUUCUACAACCUACUGGGGUAAAAUCUUUCUCAACCCUGCUUUUCAUCAUCACAUCUUAAAUAUCUCGAGUUGGUUCCCUAUUGCCAAAAAAAAUCCAUUGUCCAUGUAGGGUUCUUCUGCCGAAACGAGGAAAGAGUGAGUUAAAUGUUGGUAGGUGAUAUAGAGAUAGUAAUUAGGCAAUAUAAUUCGAUGUUGUUGAAAGAGCUGAGCUAUGAAAUGCAUUGUGAUAAAGGGGCUGCCUGUGUAAGUAAAUGGGUAUAAUGAGGUGUAAAACUCCCUUUCUCUCUCUCUUUCUGCUUCAUAAGCCUUUCUGCUUCUCAAGUCCAGACCUGCUGUUUUUGGGGUUUCCUUCCAAUUUUUUUGCUGCUUCCCUGGGGCCUUGGCUCUUGGGCCUGCUGCCUCUUCCCACUCUACACCUUUGGAUUCCUUAUCUUUGGCUCCACCUUAUUGCUCCAUUCUCCAAAGACAAAUCCACAAGGCAUAGGAUUUUACAGAAUAUGGGGUUACAGAAACAGCAUAGGGAAGUGUAAAAGCCUAGAAGCUUCUUACAGACGCAGCCCCUUGUCUGUAGCUCCUGACUCCCACUUAAAUGUCUGUUGGAAGCACCCUGGGGUAGCAGAACCCAGCUCAGAAGAUGGGGCUUAUCCACCAUGCCUUUUCCUAACCUGACACCCACCCAGAUAAUCUUUUCAAUAUGCAAACUAGAGCGUAUCACCCCCUGCUCAGAGCCUUUCUGUGACCUCCCAUUUUGCUUCCCAGGACUCCUUGCUCCUUAGCCAGGUCUCCAGGUCCUCCGUGAUCAGGUCUCUGCUCUUCUGCAGCCUCAUCUCUGCCAUUCUUCACCUUUUGUGCUCCAACCCAAUCUGGUUUUCUUCUCAUGCUUUGAACACCCCAAGUCUGUCUGCUUCAGGAGCUUCGUACUGGCUAAUCAUUCACCACAGCAUACUCCCAUCUAUACGGCUGGCUCUUAUAUUAUGGGUCUCAGCUAAAAUGUCAUCCCUUCAAAGAGACCUUCUUGGACCACCCCCGCCAUUCUCUAUCCUAUUUCUCUCUUUUAUUUUCUUUGAAGCACUUACCCACUUUCAGAAACUAUCUGGCUUGCUCAUGUGUUUGUCUCUAGAUUGUCUACUUCCCCUCCUAGACUGUACUCUCCACAAGAGAGCAAAGCUGUGUCUGUUGCAUUCACUGUUGUCUUCCCAGAAGCAAGCAGCAUGCUGGAGACCCUCAAAUACAUGUGAAAUGAAGGGACACCUUGUGUUAUUUCACCUGUUUCCACCUGGUUCCCAAGUGGCAAGCUUGCAUUGAGGUUACAAAGUGGCAAAGCUGGGAUAUCACAUGAUGUCACCAUGAUGCUAUAUGAAAUGUAACAUUAAUUGAGUACCUAUGUGACCAGUUCUUUAAUUCUGUAAGUGAACUCUCAAAAAACCCUAGGUAAGUAUUAUCAACUCGAACUUUAACGGAUGAGGAAACUGGAAUUUUUUAAAAAAUGACUUAACCAAACAUCACAGAGCUGUAAACCAGGAUUUGAAUGGGUGAGCUGCACUCAGCCUUCAUCUCAAGUCAGUUUGCCUCUUUCUCCAAGAAGCCACAGUUGAUCCUGACCACAUCACAUAUGAGUUGCCUGGAUUGCAGUCAUUCAUUCACUAAGCAUCUUUUAGGAGGUCACAUGCCAGGCACCGUGUUAGGUAAUGAUUUCUCCAAGUCACAGGAGCCGUGGUUCUGACUUUAGAAAGUUUCUCAUCUGAUGGGAGGGCAGGCAAGUAAAUCAGUAAGGGUGGUCCCUGUCGGGACACUGGUUGAGAAAUACCCAGGAACACUCUGAUUGAGAAAUACCCAAAGUGCAAAGUGACAGGGACUAGAGGCAUCUCCACUGGACCAGAGAGCUCUGGAUUCGUCUUGAGCUAAGUCUCUGGAGGUAGGUGUCAGCUACAAGGAGAAAAGCUGUAUAUUUUGAGAUAUGGGAUGCAGGGCCUUUUAGUUCCAUAAAUAAGAGAACUAUGGUGUGAAUACCACAUGCCCUGGGCUGAACUAAGUGGGCUCUAGGGGAAGGUAUACUGGGCAGGGAGUUUGGAGAACUGGUUUCUGUCUAAUCCUUCUCUAACUCUGUGACCUUGAAUGCAUCAUUUCCCCUCUGAGUCUCAGAUUCUCUUUCUGGCUGGCAUUUAAUGAAACCUAAAUAUUCUAGACCUUCUACUUGUUCCAUAAGUGCUCAGUCCUACACUCACUCUCCUCUGGCACCAAUAUACUGAUUACUCAUUUUAUGCCCAGCAGAGCACUGCGUGUUUUGAAAUAUACAAAUAGUGGGAAACGAAAUCUUUGUUCUGGAUGCAGUUAUAAUUUGGAAAGCGAGGAAAUAAAUUAUAACAAGGGGAAAAAACAGACACAGAGGGAUUGAAAUGCAUAACAAUAGAGAUGAAACACGAAGAGUGAUAAAUGAAGAUUGAGUGUGCACACCUUCUGGAGGAGCCCUGAUUGAGUAUUUUAAAAUACUACUAAAGUCAUGCCGUGUGACUUCUGAAGCUAGCUCCUAAGAAGUCCUUGCAGCUUCUGCCUGCGACUCUUAGAACACUUGCUUUGAAGGAUGCCAGAUGCUGUCUUAAAAGUCUGAGCACUCUGAAACCAUCAUGCUGUGAGGAAGCCCAAGCUAACCACAUGGGCAAAAAAGAUGCCCUCUGACUGCCACCAUUUGAGACACUCUAAUUAAGAACUGCCUCAUUGAGCCCAUGAGGCCCUGUGAAUGAUAAUAAUAAAUUGUUUUUAACCACUAUGUUUUUGGAUUUGUUAUAAGUUUAUAGAUAACAAGAAAAAGUUAUAUUAGCAUGGUAAUAAAAUUAUGGAUAUGUGUAAGUUUGGUGUUUUGUUUCUUUUUUUUUUUUACACUAAGCCUAUAUUACUGUUGUAAUUUAGGAAAUCACUUGUUUUCCUCCAGCACUUCAAUGUAAGAGUGGCACUACUUAGAAUGUACUUCUUAAGAUAUGGCU
rnacentral:lncRNA from 1 species